rnacentral:lncRNA from 1 species
CCCAAGUAGCGUACAUAGCUCUUCUUCCUCCAUAGGUAUCUUCCUGGAUUCUUAUUGGAAAUUUACGAAUAUCCAUACUUUAAUGACUUGUUAAGUUGGGUAACGCUCUGCGUUGAACCAUGGCAUUGUUUCUGUAUUCUCUCGAAUGGUUGCGAACCACUAUUUAAAAAAAAAAAAAAAAAAAAUCUAUCGGUGGCAUGCCCCUCACCUAUGGGUGGUAUUUAUUUUGCCACUGUUUGGUACUGUUAAAAAGAUUUUUAAUAAAUUUUGAUGAAAUACGUGGUAAAAAAAAAAAAGUUUAGUCUCAUUAAAUAUACUAUUAAAAUAAUUAUUGAUUUUAACUUAAAAUUUUAUAAAGAUUAAAAUCCACGCCAAACACACGCUAAUAAAAAGAUAAUAACUAGACCUGAAACCUUUGUUACUAUGAUAUUUUGUUAAUAAUUUGAUCUGGAAAGUAUUAAGCCCUAGUUUAAUAAAGUUUUUAUUUAUUUUUACUUUUUUCCCCUUCAGAUUAUAAAUUUAGUCCAACACUAUUUUCAACCACAUGUUUAAUUGAUUUCACAAAUUUAUUCACGAUUUAAUCCUACAAUUGAUGAGACUUUUCAAAAGGUUCUCUCAAAAAACAGGGGCUAUUAAAAAGCAGCGACUUCUCUUCUUAAUUCAUUGCUUCCUAAUUGCUAGAACCUAAGAAACUAUGGAGCCGUUUCAAGAAAACAGGGUGAAUCAGCCGUUGUUGGAGCCAAAAGAACCCGCACGGCAGGUGUCUGGGGAGUAUAUAAGUUCUGAGCUUGAGGAUAUACUAUCGAACACCAGCUUGUCGUGGUGGCGCCGCCUGCAAAAGGCCAUCUGGACCGAGAUGAAGACUCUCUACCUCCUUGCAGCUCCUGCGGUUAUAGUUUACUUGCUUAACAAUGUUACUUCAGUGUCCACUCAGAUUUUCUGUGGCCAUCUUGGCAAUCUUGAACUUGCUGCUGCAUCUCUCGGCAACAACGGUGUUCAACUUCUGGCCUAUGGAAUCAUGGUAACCCUCAAUCACUACUUGCCCCCCAAAAAGUAAAUAAUUAAUACUUAACUAAAUUAUUAUCUAUUAUAAUUCCCUGUCAUACCAAUUCUGCAAAUGAAGAUACUACUUUUGUGCUUGCCAUGAGCAGCUAGGAAUGGGAAGUGCAGUAGAAACGUUGUGUGGGCAGGCAUAUGGAGCUCACAGAUACGAAAUGCUUGGAAUAUACAUGCAAAGAUCAACAAUCCUCCUGAUUGCAACAGGGAUACCAUUGAUGAUAAUUUAUAUUUUCUGCAAGCCAAUUUUGCUCUUGCUAGGUGAAUCAAAAAGGCUUGCAUCUGCGGCAUCUGUGUUCAUCUAUGGCCUAAUCCCUCAGAUUUUCGCGUACGCUGCAAAUUUUCCUAUACAAAAGUUCUUGCAGGCACAAAGCAUAGUGAAUCCCAGUGCAUAUAUAGCAGCAGGUACACUGGUACUGCACUUGCUAUUGACAUGGCUGGUGGUGUAUGUGUUCGGAUGGGGAUUGCUCGGUGCGGCACUGGUGUUGAGUUUAUCGUGGUGGAUUAUAGUGGUGGUACAAUUUGUGUAUAUUUUAUGGACUGAGAAGUGCAAAGCUACAUGGACUGGAUUCAGUUGGAGGGCAUUUCAUGGGCUGUGGGAUUUUUUGAAGAUUUCAACUUCCUCUGCCGUUAUGCUCUGCCUCGAGACUUGGUACUUUCAGAUUUUAAUUCUUAUUGCUGGUUUGCUUCCCAAUCCUGAAAUUGUAUUGGACUCCUUGUCUGUUUGGUAAGGCUAAAUUUCUCCACUUUCUUGUCCAAUUCAAAAAUCAUUUCAUGUUCUGGAAAAUUAAAAUAAUUAGUUAAUUAAUUAAUAUGCAGUGUCACAGUCCUUGGUUGGGUAUUUAUGAUAUCUGUGGGUUUCAAUGCUGCUGCAAGGUAUUUAUGAUAUCCUUUAUUUUCCCUUUUCUCAUUUUUCAGUGGUUUGCUAAGUAUUGAAUUAAUUUUUGCUCUUAAUGAAUUAAAUUCAUUAUUUCCUAAUUAAUUUUAAUAUCCAGUGUAAGGGUUAGCAAUGAGCUUGGAGCUGGACAUCCCAAAUCAGCUGCAUUUUCUGUCGUGGUGGUGACAAUGAAUUCCUUCGUAUUAGCAGUAUUUUUUGCCGUUUUGUCAUAUUUGCUGCGUUAUCAAUUAAGUUAUAUCUUCACCGGCGGAGAAACAGUUUCAAAUGCAGUAGCAGACCUCACACCACUCAUGGCCAUCUCCAUUGUUCUUAAUGGCAUUCAACCUGUUUUGUCUGGUAAAAUAUAAAUUUCCUUUUCUCUCAGUUUUAUUUUGAUUUUCUAGAUGGCUUACUAUAAAGUUCUAUUAGUGUGUGUUUGGUUAUAGAAAGUCAUUUUUUCAAAACUUAUUUUUAAUCACACAUAUUUCUAUAAAAAUAAUGGGAAUCAAACGGGGGCUAAAUAAAUGUUACCACUUGUUAGUUGUUUCGACUCGUCUGUAUGAGAGGUUUUAAAGUGAGAAGUUAGACACUAGAAAUGGUUAUAUAUCUAUGAAUGAUUACAAGGGGAAAAUAAUGGAUAAGACAAGGAGGAGAGGAUAACAAAAUGGAAAAUUCUGCUCAAACAUGGGCCUUGGAUAGGCCCCUGUGGUAGGGGUUGAGAUGUCAGCCCCUCAUCUGAAUUUCAGGUCAAUGUAGUGCUUCUCUAACAAACUUGAAGUAGACUGUGUACAGUAGGGGGGGUCACAGCCACGGGGAGGAGUGAUUUUUAUUUUUUGUUUUUAAUUUUUUGCAAUAAAAUAUUGACAUGGGCCCACUCCAUGUGAGAGGCCUUGUCUGUACACAAGGAAUUAAUGAGCAAAAUACAGAAAUAAUAAUUAUGACAGAUGAAAGAAAAUAUGUGGAGAUUCCUAGAAGCAAAAGGAAAGGAAGAAAAGACAAGAAGAAGAGGGUAACAAAAUCUGAACACAAUAAUUAUAAGACUCUGGACGUACUCCAUUCAAGUGUGUGGUAAUGAAGCGUGCCAUCAAGGUAUAUGAAAUAUAUUUUUCAAUAUGUUACUCUCUGCUUCACGUCUCUUUAGAAGGGGGUAACUUUAUUUUGUUGCACUUCUGGUUGGAAGUCAAAUUGUGUUUACCUUCUCAGUCUGUAUUUUAUUUUAUCUUCAUUUUUAAUAAAACAUACCAUCUUUACUAGUUUAAUUAAUAAACGAAAGGAAUAAAAUUUGCAGCUUUUUCUUCUAACAAUUUGUUAAAAGAGUAACGUUUAGGCAUAGUUGAACGAAAUUCAUUUCAUUUUUAUGUACAAGUCAAAUUUCAUGCUCCUUCUACAUGAGAGAAUCUUCAGUAGCGUGGUGCGAUCGUCCUAUUAAUGUGCGUUACCUAGACAGAUGACCCACCACCAUCGAGAUGGCGCCUCGACAUUGGGCGGGCGUGCUAUCCCAUGCCCCUUUUGCACACGAGAAUUUUUAGUAGGGCGGUCCCACCACUAAGGUGUGCCACCUCGACGAAUGCCCCCCCACCCCCCAACCCUGAGGUGUGUGGACCCUAGCUGAGGUGGGGCCUCGGCAUUGGGCGGGGUGCGCCCACCCCACUGAAAAUUCUUCCCUUUUACACAGGUGCUAAUACUUAAGACACUUAAUCAAUUAUUAUCCUUUCUUCAUGAGUUACAUAUAUAUAAAAUGGAAUUUGUCUGUAUGUAGUACCUGGAUACACGGGAUAAUUGAUGAAACAUGUUUUAUUUUUGUAUGUUGGAAUUGACAAUACAAAGGUGUGGCCGUUGGAUGUGGAUGGCAAACAUUUGUUGCGUACGUUAACGUUGCUUGUUACUAUGUGAUUGGCAUUCCAUUGGGUUCAGUUCUUGGAUUUAAAUUCAACCUCGGAGCAAAGGUACUUCAAUGCUUUUCUUUUUACAUUAAUCUAGAAAGUUUUCAAGGCAGAAACAAACUUUCAUUAAGACAAGUCAUUUUGAACAUGUGUGCCAAAUAAAAUACGAGAUUCAAUCGACCUAAUUUCAAGCAAUUGGAGUAGUGGCAACGAAGGAAGCAAGCGAGAGGACUACUCCAUUCUUAUGUAUAGGCUUAAAAUAACAAGAUCUAUAGAGUUAAACAAUUUAUUUCCCUAUUUCUUGUUUGUUAGCUUAUUUUAUAUUUUGCGUCAUUAUACAUAUUGGGAUUCUAUGCUCAUUUUUUAUUCAUCGUGAUGUACGCAGACAAGGUUUAGUCUACAACAUAAUUGAAAAGCUCGUCUCCGACUGUAUAUAGUUUUUGCAGAUUUUUUAAAUAUAGUUUUACUCGUGAAUUGCAGGGAAUAUGGUCAGGAAUGCUGGGAGGUACAACCUUGCAGACUCUAAUCUUAUUAUGGGUUACAAUUCGGACGGACUGGAAUAAGGAGGUAUAAAUUUCAUAUUAUUAGAUAUUUUCUUAAUCAUCAUCUGUCUAUGUAGUCAAUAGUGUUACUGUCACUUUUUUCAUUACAGUUGCAAUGCGUAGUUAUUCAUUUGAUAGUGUGACAAUAGUCCUAUGAUCAGCUGGGAUACAAAUGAUAUAAUUCAUUGUAAUUAAAUUUCAAUGUAGAUAUUUAAAUUUAUUUGAACUAAGAAAAUUGUAAAGAUAAAAGAAAACCAGUAGGAGUUUUUUUUUUUUUUUUUGUUGUCGAUUCUCUGUUCAACAUGACACUUUGUGCAACUUUCAGGUGGAGAACGCAAGGAGACGGUUGCAAAGGUUGGAAGACAAGAGAGAAGAAGAACAGAGAAGAGAAGAAGCUAAGUUGGAUAAUUAAUUAGAUUACACCUUUUUCUCCAAAAACUAUUACUACUAUGCAUGUUGGUUCUCUCAUUUUUGUGGUGAUAAGAAGUCAUAUAAAAUAAUUUACUAGGAUUUCCUUGCUUAAAGGGAGGUUGAAUUAAUAAUGGAUUUGGUUUUCUAUAUCCAAUCUUCGUCUUCAUCGAUCAGUUAAUAACAAGAAUUUAUUUGGAAUUAAUAACAAGGCUGUGAAGAGACUGUGUAACUUGGUCUUCAAUAUUUUUAUUAAAAAUAUAAAUUUAAUUUUCAACGAU